rnacentral:lncRNA from 1 species
GAACCUCCUAGGUCUCCCUGCUGGAGCUGAUUCCGACCUUCCCGCCUGAGGCAAACGCCAGCGUGGUCGAGGAAUUAUCUGUAUGAGGAGCGCACUGCACAAGGAGAAGGCAGGACAAGGGGAGAUGAGCCCACAGUGCCUGUCAUUAAUAUUUCAGGAGCAAGAAGAUGGUGCCGCAUAAGGGGAAUCAGGACAAAUGGAACUGCUGUGUUUCAGAGCUGGCUAGAGAGGGCGCUGAUUAGAGACAGGGGAUCUUUGUGGGGUCAACUGUUCUGAUGCAGAGGGGCACGGAGGAUAGACUUGGGGCGUUCGGGUCAGCUCUGCAGCCAGCCUGGCAGAAACUGGCGUGUUCCCAGGGACAAACAGUGAGUGAGGCCUUGCGACCCAAGCAAAGAUGGAG